AUGUUUAUCUUUUUAAUAAUGCUAUUUUUAUGCUCCUUAUUUCAAUAUACAGGUGUAACAAAAUGGAGAACAAAGUCUGAGCCAUGCCAGGAAUUCUUCAAAAUGUACACACUGCAGCCCUGCAGACACUGCCAUGAGGUUUACAAGAACUGCUUACCAGCCACCAGAUCCAGUCUGUAUCCAAGUCAGAUGGUCACUGCAGUCACCCGGAUCCAGUAUGUAUCCAGCCCAGAUGGUGGAUCAGCAUCUAGAAAGGACCUCUACAGCCCUGAAAGACAGCGGAGACCAGGACUAGAGCCCCAGAGACAGAUCCCCUGUAAAGACCAUGUCUCAGAUGACCACCGGGACAAGACCACAGGAAACAGAUGAUUGUUCUGCAAAAUCUGACUUUGUUGCAGCGGAAUUGAACUGCUGGUUUCGUCUGGUCAGAGGAGAACUUCCCCCCCACCUAGCUCUCAGGAGAGACAUGGAGCGGCAUCAUCUUCCGCCUUCGCUUGUCCUUCAAGGCAGCUUGAAGUAAGCUUGUGUUACUGAAGUAACCAAUAACAUCGAUACAAGUUUUAUUCAUGUUACAGUGUGCAGCAGUUUGUUGUGGGUUAUUAUUGUCAUUCAGUAACACAAGCUUACUUCAAGCUGCCUUGAAGGACAAGAGCUCAUCUUUACAGACUGAGACGAUCGAAGGCCAAAUAUUAUUUACAUAUUUAGUAAUACAAAUCACCACGAGAGCUUUCCAAUAUGCGCGCCACUGAGUGGCGUCUGUACUUCCCUGUCAGAGAGCACCUGUCCAUCAAUAGCUCACUAUCCAAUCAGAGUAGAUCACUGUUAAGUCCGCCCCCACGAGAGGUUUGUGUCAAAACACCAAACGAAAAACUGCGAAACGUAAGCGAAAUCUGUGGCAAUGCAUUCAGAAUCCACAAUUAGCGAAAACAAAUCUUUGAAAAACAUUAACAAAGAAUGAAGCAUAUUUGAAGAGCCUGUUAAAUUUGUGCGACUGAAUUAAUUUUUUUCAUUUUCAUUGUGUUUUUCUUCUUUUGUAAUGGCAUAUUUUUGAUAGUUUCUGAUAAAGUUACAUUCAGUUUUAUAAAGUUUCGUUCAUUUUUAUAGAAGCAAAUGUAAUUCCAUAUUCCUGCUGCCAGUGGCGGCCACUUCCUGCUGACAGCUGCCGAUUUUUCGCCGAACCCCCUCUCAUAAAGCCCUCCCUACACCUACCCUAACCCUACCCAAUAUUUAUUUUCAACCUUUUAAUUAUUUCCUUAAUUUUUAUUGAAAAUAAAUGCCUUUCCGAUACGAUAUGAGAUUUGAAA
ensembl:lncRNA